rnacentral:rRNA from 1 species
AGUGAACGCUGGCGGCGUGCUUAACACAUGCAAGUCGAACGAGAACGGAUUAUAGCUUGCUAUAAUUGUCAGCUAAGUGGCGCACGGGUGAGUAAUGUAUAGGUAAUAUGCCUCUUACUAAGGGAUAACAAAUGGAAACGUUUGCUAAUACCUUAUACUCCUUAUUAACAGAAGUUAAUAAGGGAAAGAUUUAUUGGUAAGAGAUUAGCCUGUAUUGUAUCAGUUAGUUGGUGGGGUAAUGGCUUACCAAGACUAUGACACAUAACUGGUUUGGGAGGAGGAACAGUCACACUGGAACUGAGACACGGUCCAGACUCCUACGGGAGGCAGCAGUGGGGAAUAUUGCACAAUGGACGAAAGUCUGAUGCAGCAACGCCGCGUGGAGGAUGACACAUUUCGGUGCGUAAACUCCUUUUAUAUGAGAAGAUAAUGACGGUAUUAUAUGAAUAAGCACCGGCUAACUCCGUGCCAGCCGCCGCGGUAA